AGUUUAAGUUUUAAUAGAAGUUAAUUUAAGGUCCAUAGGGUCUUCUUGUCUUAUUAUUUAAUUUCCGCCUCUUCACGGAAAGGUCAAUUUCAUGGGCUAAAUGUAAGAGACAGUUAAGCCCUCAUUAUGCCGUUCAUACUAGUCCCUAAUUAAGAAACAAAAGAUCGGAAGACCA